CCCUGUGCAGCUGUGUUGUGAGCUCUCCAACCGUAGUUAUGGCAUAAUUUCAAAGUAAAUUAACUUGCAAUAAACAAAUUUAGUUAGCAAUUAUAGUUAGCUAAUAAUUUAUACACAACUGCGGGGUAUGAUUAUAUAACCUUGCAGUCAUGUAUACAUUACUGCCAGUGUGUGUAUUUCUUUUUUUUGUGUAAUCCUUUGGAAAGCUUAUUAAAUCAAAGUCGUAGUCCAUCACAAG